GCCAUCAUAUCCAAAUGGCAGAGCACUGGUCUUUUAAACCAGGGGGCGUGAGUUGAUCCUCACUGGUGGCU